rnacentral:rRNA from 1 species
GAUGAACGCUGGCGGCGUGCCUAAUACAUGCAAGUCGAGCGAACGGACGAGAAGCUUGCGUCUCUGAGGUUAGCGGCGGACGGGUGAGUAACACGUGGAUAACCUACCUAUAAGACUGGGAGAACUUCGGGAAACCGGAGCUAAUACCGGAUGAUAUUUUGAACCGCAUGGUUCAAAAGUGAAAGACGGUCUUGCUGUCACUUAUGGAUGGAUCCGCGCUGCAUUAGCUAGUUGGUAAGGUAACGGCCUACCAAGGCAACGAUGCAUAGCUGACCUGAGAGGGUGAUCGGCCACACUGGAACUGAGACACGGUCCAGACUCCUACGGGAGGCAGCAGUAGGGAAUCUUCCGCAAUGGGCGAAAGCCUGACGGAGCAACGCCGCGUGAGUGGUGAAGGUCUUCGGAUCGUAAAGCUCUGUUAUUAGGGAAGAACAUCUGUGUAAGUAACCGUGCACAUCUUGACGGUACCUAAUCAGAAAGCCCCGGCUAACCACGUG